rnacentral:rRNA from 1 species
UCUGGCUUGUAACUGACGNUGAGGCUCGAAAGCGUGGGGAGCAAACAGGAUUAGAUACCCUGGUAGUNCACGCCGUAAACGAUGAGUGCUAGGUGUUAGACCCUUUCCGGGGUUUAGUGCCGCAGCUAACGCAUUAAGCACUCCGCCUGGGGAGUACGACCGCAAGGUUGAAACUCAAAGGAAUUGACGGGGGCCCGCACAAGCGGUUGAGCAUGUGGUUUAAUUCGAAGCAACGCGAAGAACCUUACCAGGUCUUGACAUCCCUCUGACCGCUCUAGAGAUAGAGUUUUCCUUCGGGACAGAGGUGACAGGUGGUGCAUGGUUGUCGUCAGCUCGUGUCGUGGGAUGUUGGGUUNNNNNNNNCAACGAGCGCAACCCCUAUUGUUAGUUGCCAUCAUUUAGUCGGGCACUCUAGCGAGACUGCCGGUAAUAAACCGGAGGAAGGUGGGGAUGACGUCAAAUCAUCAUGCCCCUUAUGACCUGGGCUACACACGUGCUACAAUGGCUGGUACAACGAGUCGCAAGCCGGUGACGGCAAGCUAAUCUCUUAAAGCCAGUCUCAGUUCGGAUUGUAGGCUGCAACUCGCCUACAUGAAGUCGGAAUCGCUAGUAAUCGCGGAUCAGCACGCCGCGGUGAAUACGUUCCCGGGCCUNGU